rnacentral:rRNA from 1 species
CCUACGGGAGGCAGCAGUAGGGAAUAUUGCUCAAUGGGGGCAACCCUGAAGCAGCAAUGCCGCGUGUAGGAUGAAGGUUUUCGGAUUGUAAACUCCUUUUGUUAGAGAAGAUAAUGACGGUAUCUAACGAAUAAGCAACGGCCAACUCCGUGCCAGCAGCCGCGGUAAUACGGAGGGUGCAAGCGUUACUCGGAAUCACUGGGCGUAAAGAGCGCGUAGGCGGGUUGGCAAGUCAGAUGUGAAAUCCUAUGGCUUAACCAGAGAACUGCAUUUGAAACUGUUAUUCUAGAGUAUGGGAGAGGUAGGUAGAAUUCUUGGUGUAGCGGUAAAAUGCGUAGAGAUCAAGAGGAAUACUGAUUGCGAAGGCGACCUGCUAGAACAUGACUGACGCUGAUGCGCGAAAGCGUGGGGAGCAAACAGGAUUAGAUACCCGUGUAGUC